rnacentral:rRNA from 1 species
GACGAACCGAGCGAACGUUGUUCGGAAUCACUGGGCUUAAAGGGCGCGUAGGCGGGCUGUCAAGUUUGGGGUAAAAUCUCACGGCUCAACCGUGGAACUGCCUCAAAUACUGACGGUCUCGAGGGAGAUAGGGGCGAGCGGAACUAAUGGUGGAGCGGUGAAAUGCGUUGAUAUCAUUAGGAACUCCGGUGGCGAAGGCGGCUCGCUGGAUCUCUUCUGACGCUGAGGCGCGAAAGCUAGGGGAGCAAACGGG